rnacentral:rRNA from 1 species
AACGAACGCUGGCGGCAUGCCUAACACAUGCAAGUCGAACGAAGCCUUCGGGCUUAGUGGCGCACGGGUGCGUAACGCGUGGGAACCUGCCUUUAGGUUCGGAAUAACUCAGAGAAAUUUGAGCUAAUACCGGAUAAUGUCUUCGGACCAAAGAUUUAUCGCCUUUAGAUGGGCCCGCGUAGGAUUAGCUAGUUGGUGGGGUAAAGGCCUACCAAGGCGACGAUCCUUAGCUGGUCUGAGAGGAUGAUCAGCCACACUGGGACUGAGACACGGCCCAGACUCCUACGGGAGGCAGCAGUGGGGAAUAUUGGACAAUGGGCGAAAGCCUGAUCCAGCAAUGCCGCGUGAGUGAUGAAGGCCUUAGGGUUGUAAAGCUCUUUUACCAGGGAUGAUAAUGACAGUACCUGGAGAAUAAGCUCCGGCUAACUCCGUGCCAGCAGCCGCGGUAAUAC